AAAUUGAGAGUUUGAUCCUGGCUCAGGAUGAACGCUGGCGGCGUGCCUAAUACAUGCAAGUCGAACGCUUUGUGGUUCAACUGAUUUGAAGAGCUUGCUCAGAUAUGACGAUGGACAUUGCAAAGAGUGGCGAACGGGUGAGUAACACGUGGGAAACCUACCUCUUAGCAGGGGAUAACAUUUGGAAACAGAUGCUAAUACCGUAUAACAAUGACAACCGCAUGGUUGUUAUUUAAAAGAUGGUUCUGCUAUCACUAAGAGAUGGUCCCGCGGUGCAUUAGCUAGUUGGUAAGGUAAUGGCUUACCAAGGCGAUGAUGCAUAGCCGAGUUGAGAGACUGAUCGGCCACAAUGGGACUGAGACACGGCCCAUACUCCUACGGGAGGCAGCAGUAGGGAAUCUUCCACAAUGGGCGAAAGCCUGAUGGAGCAACGCCGCGUGUGUGAUGAAGGGUUUCGGCUCGUAAAACACUGUUGUAAGAGAAGAAUGACAUUGAGAGUAACUGUUCAAUGUGUGACGGUAUCUUACCAGAAAGGAACGGCUAAAUACGUGCCAGCAGCCGCGGUAAUACGUAUGUUCCAAGCGUUAUCCGGAUUUAUUGGGCGUAAAGCGAGCGCAGACGGUUAUUUAAGUCUGAAGUGAAAGCCCUCAGCUCAACUGAGGAAUUGCUUUGGAAACUGGAUGACUUGAGUGCAGUAGAGGAAAGUGGAACUCCAUGUGUAGCGGUGAAAUGCGUAGAUAUAUGGAAGAACACCAGUGGCGAAGGCGGCUUUCUGGACUGUAACUGACGUUGAGGCUCGAAAGUGUGGGUAGCAAACAGGAUUAGAUACCCUGGUAGUCCACACCGUAAACGAUGAGUGCUAGGUGUUUGAGGGUUUCCGCCCUUAAGUGCCGCAGCUAACGCAUUAAGCACUCCGCCUGGGGAGUACGACCGCAAGGUUGAAACUCAAAGGAAUUGACGGGGACCCGCACAAGCGGUGGAGCAUGUGGUUUAAUUCGAAGCAACGCGAAGAACCUUACCAGGUCUUGACAUCCCUUGACAACUCCAGAGAUGGAGCGUUCCCUUCGGGGACAAGGUGACAGGUGGUGCAUGGUUGUCGUCAGCUCGUGUCGUGAGAUGUUGGGUUAAGUCCCGCAACGAGCGCAACCCUUAUUACUAGUUGCCAGCAUUUAGUUGGGCACUCUAGUGAGACUGCCGGUGACAAACCGGAGGAAGGUGGGGAUGACGUCAAAUCAUCAUGCCCCUUAUGACCUGGGCUACACACGUGCUACAAUGGCGUAUACAACGAGUUGCCAACCCGCGAGGGUGAGCUAAUCUCUUAAAGUACGUCUCAGUUCGGAUUGUAGGCUGCAACUCGCCUACAUGAAGUCGGAAUCGCUAGUAAUCGCGGAUCAGCACGCCGCGGUGAAUACGUUCCCGGGUCUUGUACACACCGCCCGUCACACCAUGAGAGUUUGUAACACCCAAAGCCGGUGGGGUAACCUUCGGGAGCCAGCCGUCUAAGGUGGGACAGAUGAUUAGGGUGAAGUCGUAACAAGGUAGCCGUAGGAGAACCUGCGGCUGGAUCACCUCCUUUCUAAGGAA
rnacentral:rRNA from 1 species